GUUUUGGUAGCUUAACCUGAAAGCGUCGACCUUGUAAGUCGAAGAUCGGGGGUGUAAAUCCCCUCCAAAACA
rnacentral:tRNA from 1 species